rnacentral:lncRNA from 1 species
GGGGGUUAGGAAUCAAUAUUGAAGGCGCUUUCCCCAGCAGUGAGGUUGACUUUUGUUCAUGAGUUUUGACCAUUUGUGUUUUGUUUUCUCGUUAAGGAUAAUGUGAGCAUGAUUUAUAUUUUUGUAUAUUUGUACUAAUUUUUUAAAUAAGCUAGGAGCAGUCAAACAUCGUGAUUAAAAGUUUAUGGUUAAAAACAUUUAGUAAUGGAAGGAGUAAUAUCAUGUGACCAAUUUAAGGAGCGCGGCAUAUUUUGCUCUCUCCACCGAACUAACUACCAGCCGUCGAACAAUCAAGACGAACAAUUGACAUCUGGAUAGACAUCCACCGUGCAAAUGCAUAUCCCAUCCUUUCCUCGCGCACUGUUCAUGUAAGCGGCACACACGUUCACGAUUUCAAUCACCGUCCUCUAGACCCC